AUUGAACGCUGGCGGCAGGCUUAACACAUGCAAGUCGAGCGGGGAAGGGUAGCUUGCUACCUAACCUAGCGGCGGACGGGUGAGUAAUGCUUAGGAAUCUGCCUAUUAGUGGGGGACGACAUUCCGAAAGGAAUGCUAAUACCGCAUACGCCCUACGGGGGAAAGCAGGGGAUCUUCGGACCUUGCGCUAAUAGAUGAGCCUAAGUCAGAUUAGCUAGUUGGUGGGGUAAAGGCCUACCAAGGCGACGAUCUGUAGCGGGUCUGGAGAGGAUGAUCCGCCACACUGGGACUGAGACACGGCCCAGACUCCUACGGGAGGCAGCAGUGGGGAAUAUUGGACAAUGGGCGAAAGCCUGAUCCAGCCAUGCCGCGUGUGUGAAGAAGGCCUUUUGGUUGUAAAGCACUUUAAGCGAGGAGGAGGCUACCGAGAUUAAUACUCUUGGAUAGUGGACGUUACUCGCAGAAUAAGCACCGGCUAACUCUGUGCCAGCCGCCGCAGUAAUAC
rnacentral:rRNA from 1 species